GGUCGGCCCCGGCAAGAUGGCGGCCCCCUUGGAGCUCACUUGCUGGGGAGGUGGCUGGGGGCUCCCAUCGGUGCACAGCGAGUCCCUGGUGGUGAUGGCUUACGCCAAAUUUUCUGGUGCACCCUUGAAAGUCAAUGUCAUAGAUAACACCUGGAGAGGUUCAAGAGGAGAUGUACCAAUUUUGACAACUGAAGACAACAUUGUUUCUCAGCCUGCAAAAAUACUAAACUUUUUAAGAAAACAGAAAUACAAUGCUGAUUAUGAACUCUCAGCAAAACAGGGAGCAGAUACACUGGCUUACAUUGCUCUCAUCGAAGAGAAGCUUCUUCCUGCAGUGCUUCACACAUUCUGGGUUGAGAGUGACAAUUACUUUACUGUGACAAAGCCAUGGUUUGCUUCACGAAUUCCUUUUCCCUUGAGUUUGAUCCUGCCUGGAAGAAUGUCUAAGGGAGCACUAAAUAGAAUUCUCCUGACCAGAGGAGAGCCUCCCCUCUACCACCUCCGAGAAGUGGAAGCUCAGAUAUACAGAGAUGCCAAGGAGUGCCUAAAUCUUCUGUCAAACAGAUUGGGAACAUCUCAGUUUUUCUUUGGAGAUACGCCAUCUACCUUGGAUGCCUAUGUGUUUGGUUUCCUCGCACCGCUUUAUAAAGUACGCUUUCCUAAAGUUCAGUUACAAAAACAUUUGAAACAGCUCUCCAACCUGUGCCGCUUCUGUGACGACAUCCUAAACAGUUAUUUUAGGCUUAGUCUUGGAGGCAUCUCUCCUGCUGGACAAGAAACGGUAGACGCAAAUCUGCAGAAACUCACGCAACUUGUAAAUAAGGAAUCCAACUUGAUUGAAAAGAUGGAUGACAAUCUUCGCCAAAGCCCUCAGCUUCCUCCUCGGAAACUGCCAACACUUAAAUUGACUCCAGCAGAAGAAGAAAGUCAUUCCUUACAACGCCUAUCGCCCUGACAGUCAUCCUGCUUUGUGUCCAAAGUCAUAUGGUUGUUGCAGUCAUCUCUUAGACUACAUGUUUGAAGGCAAGAAGAAAAUGCCAUUAUUCCUAGGUGUUGAUCCUGGAGAAACGAGUCCCUUCUUGGUCAGACAAGAGCUUCAGGAGGAAGACUGAGAAACCAGGAAGCUCACACCACUUCUUCUGUGCCCCCCUCUGUAGGGGAGCCUGCAUGACUGCAACCUCGCCAGUUUCCAUGGUUCUCUCUGCCUUCACCACGUGAGAGAUACAAGGACCUGAAGAAUUGGGUCACAGUGAGGAUCCCAUGGAGAUGAGGAGGAAGAGAACCAGAAUACAGAGGAUAAACCCUAAGCAGGCAAUGUUCAAUAUAUUCAUUCCCCAUCCUGAGGACAAGACCAGAACACUGUGCAAAGUAUACGCUGAAGGUGUGAGCUGGAAAGGAAAGGUGUCCAGGAUUUAUUCAUUUGUUUAUUCACCAAGUACUUACUGAGUGCUUCCUGUGUUCCAGGCACUGUUCCUGGUACUGAUGAUAUAUCAGUGAGUGAAACACUGCCCUUGUGUUACUUACAUUUUAGCAGGGGAGACAAUCAACAAUGAACUUAAUGAAUAAGCAGAUUACAUAAUAUAGUAGAGAGUGACAAGGGCUAUGGAAAAAGAAAAAAGGAAAGGAAGACAAAGGGGCUGGGAGUGCUGGGGUUGGGGGCACAUGACAGUAUUAAAUAUGUCAGGGUAGGCUUCAUCGUGAAGAUGACAUCUGAAUAAAGACUUGAAAGAGUGCUGGGUUGGCCUUCCAGAUACCUGACAAAGAGCGUUUUGGGAUACAGAUGGAGCAACAGUCCUAAGGUAGGGCUUGUCUAGCAUGUCUGAGAAACAGCAAAGAGGCCAGGGUCUCUGGAGCAGAGUGAGCGAGGGGGAAAGUAAAAGAGAUGAGGUCAGUGAACUAAGGGGUGGGAGCAGACCAGGUAAGAGCUUAUAGACAUUUGCAAGCCUUUGGCUUUUACUCUGAGCCAUUUCAAGAUUUUGAGUAAAGAAGUGGUGUAACUGAUCCUUUUCAAAAGGAUUAUUUGAGCUAUGGUACUGAGGAUGGACAAGUGUGUAAGAAGGAAGACAAGUUGGGAGUAUGGUCUAGUAACCUAGCCAAGAGAUGGUGGUGGCUCAGAUGGCUUAGGAUGGUAAAAGUGGAAGUAAUAAGAAGAGAUUGGAUUCUGGAUACAAUCUGUGGGUGCUACCAACAAGAUUUCUUGGCUAAUUCGGUGUGGGUUGUAAGAGAAAGAGAGAAGUCAGGGACAACUUUGAGAUUUUUGGCAUGAGCACUGGAUGCAUUGAGUUGCCAGCAAAUGGGGGGGAAGGCUAUCAGUAGAACAGCUUUUGAGGGGAAUUUAGGAGUUCCUUUUUUAACAUGUUGAGUUUGUGAUGUCUAUUAAACACCCAAGUCGAGACGCUGAGUUGGAGUUCAGGAGCUACAAAUUGAAGAGUCAUAAAGAGGAUAGAGAUGUUAUUUAAAACCAUAUGACUGAAUGAAAUCAUCAUAGGGUUUAAGUUACAGAGAAAAGGACUAAGAACAGAACCCAAGGACAUUCUGAACCCUACAAGAUCAUGGAGAGAAACAGCAAGGAAGCAACAGGAGGAAAAUCCAAAGAAUGUGGCAUCCUUGAAGCCAAAUGAAAAAUGUGUAUGUAAUAAGGAAGAGGGAGUCAUUGCUGUGAAUGUGGUUGAUGGGUCAUAAACGAUGGGAACUGAGACUUGACCAUCAAAUUUAGCAAAGUCAUUGGUGAUCUUGAGGAGUAGUUUGGGUGGAGGGAGGAAGGAAGUAGGUUCAAGAGAGACUAGAAGGAAAGGUACCAGGAAGAGUGAGAAGAAGCAAAUGAUGAAUAUGAUCAUUGUAAAAAGCAUGACAUGACAAGGCUGGGAAAGAUAUCUAGAGGUAAAACUGCCUUCCCCUGGGUCCUAUCAAGGAUGCAGCUACCUCUUUAUUUAUGUAUAGCUGCAAAUCAAGCCAGCAUGCAGCCGGCAGUGUUGAGCUAGGUCAUUAGGAAAUCUUCCCCAUUAACAGAGAUCCAUUUAUUUCUUAUUUCUUAUUUAUUACAAAAUAUUGCUAUUUGAAACACGGGCUCUUUCUCACAAUGAUGAGCUAAAUUAUUUUCUUUUGUAAAUAAGUUCUAGCAUAUUAAUACAGCAAGUAUUAGUUAAGCCAGAUGAUACAGAGACCAAGUCAGCCACUGGAGUAUUUUCUUUGUUUGGAGGAUUUCAGCUUCUGUGGUUUAGGUAAUAGAAUUUGUUUCUUCUACCUAGGCCUGGGGCCUGGAGAACUGAGCCCAAAUGAAGUAAAUCUGCAUCUUUAUUUUCCAUGUGAGCUAUUUAAUGACUCGGUGCAUUUAUCAGGGGACAGGAUGAGAACAUAGUCGAAAAUUAAAGGGUUAUCGCUGUAGAAAGCACUGAGAAUGCUGUGCGAAGCAUAAGUACGUAUCAGGAAAAAUGUAAUGUUUUAAAGGCACAGAAAUGCCUGAAAACAACCCAGAAGUCUGGGUGUCAUUUUCUUUCUCGCCCGCUCUUUCUAGUCAAGCACCUACUCCCCCCCCAUUUCCCGUUGUGAUCAUCGCUCCACUCUGAGUGGUUUUGCUCCCCCCAUGGCCUUUUCUGUCAUGGGUUGCUGCUGCAGAUACACCAUUGGUCUCUGAGCUUCUGGGUUUGCUCCCUUCCCAACCAGUCUCCAUGUUGUUCAAGAGUGAUUUUUCUAAAAUGCAAAAUGAUCAUGCAUCAUUUUUGCUUAAGUGGUUCCUUGUUAUCAAGCCCAAGCUUCUUAACUUAUAAGACAUUGAAUUAGCUGGUUCAUGUUCAACUGUGCCCCACUUUCUUUCCUCACCAUUGAAGAUCCAGCAACCAAAACCAGAGAAAUCUCCAAAUUUAUCCCAUCCCCGUACUUUCUUUUAAGUCUUUGGAUGAGGAGGCUCCAAUGAGUAAUAGAAGAAGGCACACAAUCAACUGAACAAGACUAAACAGAAUUAAAUCUUCAGGCUCCAUUAAAAUAGAAAUGGAAGGGAAGUCCUUUGUUUCAGUAUUCAUUAUAUUCAAAUUAUACUAGAUGUUUCUAUUUCUGCUAGUCUAACGCGCGUGUAUAACAGCACUGAACAUAAAUCAUUUGUUGGUUUUUUUUCUGCUUGGCUUUGUGAACUCUCAUGGCGCAAUCCUUGGCUCUGUUUUUACACUUUACUCACUUACUUUGCUCACCUACUUUAUACACUUUUCCUUGUUUGUCUUUUCCAUUCCCCACCCAGUAAAUACUGCAUAUAUUUUGAAGCAUCACAGACUGCCUUCUCCAGCCCAGGCAUCUCUUCUGAGAUCAGAUUUCUAUCCAAAGAUGCCCAAAGGCUCUGCAGCAAUCCCAGAAUUUUAUCUAAAGCUGAACUCUGGUCUUUGCUCUGCCAAGAUCGCCUCCUCAGCUCUAUUUCCCCACUUUGAUGCCACCUCAGUUACUCACUGCUGAAAUGAGAGACCUAGAACUUUACCUCAUUUUCGUUAGUAAGAAAACCUACUAACAUGCCAGGCAUUGGCUGAAAUGUUUACAUUUAGUAACCUAUUUAAUCCUUUUAACAAAUCUGUUAGGUAGCUGCUGUUACUGUUAUCCACGUUAUAGAUGAGGAAACCAAGGCACAGAAAGGUGAAAUAAUUUGCCCAAGGUCACACGAUGAUGUAAUGGUGAAAUUGGGAUUUAAACUCAGACAUCUGCCUUCAGAGUCCAUGUGCUUAACCUCUACACCGACUAUUAUUCUUGGCACCUUCCUCUGAUUCACCCCUACCUCCAGCUUAUCAGGAGUACAUUAGUUCCACCUCCAAAAAUAUCCUGAAUCCAUCUACCUCUUUCCAUCACAGGUGCCCUAGCCUUUGGCCAAGACUGUCAUGAUAAUUCCUUGGAGAUUCUCCAAUUCUACUCUUGUCCUCCUGUCUCCUCUGCCUCAGCUGGCCACCCCAUCAUUCUUCCCCAAGAAGCCAGGUCUUAAAUUAAAUGUUGUUGUCUUUUUCUGAGAAGCCUUCCUUGACCUCCAUACCAGAAUCACACCCCCCCCAUAACUCCUCAAAUCGCCCUAUUCUUUUCUAUUAUAGUACAUUUCAUAACUAAUAACUACACAUUUGUGUCUAUAUUUUUUUUAAAGUAAGCACCAUGAAAACAAGGAUUUGUUUUCUUUUCCACUCUCUACUCAGUACCUAGUAUGGAGCUUAGCCCUUAGUAGACAGUAAUAUUUGUGGAUGGAUGGAUGGAUAGAUGGAUGAAUGGAUGGAUGAGUGAGUGACUAAUCUUGAGUAAGAAGUGAUUAUUUUUAUUUUAUGUGUUAUAAUGAAAGUAUAGUUUCACUUCUUUAUAAUGGGCUAAUAGGAGGCCUUAUGAAUAAGUGAAAAUAUAUGAUUUUUUAAAAUAAAAUGCAGUUGUGUUGUUUCAGUGAAGGACAUUGUAUCAUUCUAGUAAACAUGCUACCCAUUGCUUCCACCCCUACACUCCUUUCUAAGAGAUUCCAUCCCUACCCUCAUACCCCUAACUCAGCUCACUGAACCAGGGGUAGAAACUGGCCCGAGAUUCUCCCUGUUAAGAAUUUAGAAUCAAGAAACUGAGAAACAGAUCUUUAAGGUAGGGCUGCAUUCAUUCAUCCUUCAAAUAUUCAUUGAGUGUCUGGAAUGAACUGAUCAUUGGGGAUAUAAUGACCAGGACAUAUCUCUCCUUGAAGGCAUUGAUAGUUCACUGGAGAAAACUGCUGAGUCAACCUGCUACCACAAUUCAGUGUGUUAAGUGCUGUGACAUGGAAAUUACCAGGAAGUACAUAGCAGCUCAUAGGACAGGUACCUUAUGCAGUUCUGGGAAGGCAGAGAAAGCUUUCUAGCAGAAGUGAUGUCUUGGCCAAAAGAGAGCUUAACAGAUUGAGGAGACAGCAGGGGUCAGGGACAAGAGUAUUCGAAGCACAGGGAACAGAAAAUGCAAAGGUAGUACCUUCCAUCUGUGUGCAUGGGUAGGGAGAUUAUACUGAGAGGUGAAUGCGGUCUCCAUCAUGAAGGCCCUUAUCAGCCUACAGAGUUUGGAUCAAGGGAUUUUAGCAGAGGAUGACGUGUUCAGAUUUGCACUCUAGAAAGGCCCCAGUGGCCUCAGUUGGGGGAGCAUACUGGAAGCAGAAGUCCUAGUUAAUAGAUUGUACUAGAAAUCUAGACAGGAAAUGACGACAGCAGGGAUAAGUUGGCAACUGUGGGAAGAGACAGAGUAGAUGGUGAAAGUGAUAUUUAGGAUCGGGAUGGGUGAGAGAGAGGAAUGAAGGACUUGUGCGGGUUUAAGGCUUAGGCGCUGAGGCAGGAGGCACAUGAGGGAGCCCAAGGAAGAAGUACGGGCUGAAAACACAAAUGUAAGCGUUAGCUCCCUAGAAUUAAGGAGAGUUGGGGUUAUUACCCGGUCAGUUUACAGACAGUGAGAAAAAAGAGGGAUGGGACGCUAAGUAACUCUACCAUUUAAGUAGGUGGGUGAGGAAGAGGAGCCAACAAAAAGGAUUUGAGAAGUUGUGUCCUGCCAGCCGUUUGGAAACCCAAGGAAGAGUGAUGUCAGGGACACCAAUGGAUGAGACCCUUUACAGAGGAGUCUAAUGACUGUCAGUGCUCUAACAAAAAGACCCAAACAAGGACAACUUCAAAGUAACUCAUUGCCCGUGAUAUCUAAGACACAGGAAAAUUUCUCUUAAUUAAGUAAACAUUAUUCUUAAUUAUCUUAUUUACAGUAUUCAUCCAUCUGUCCUUAGGAAUGCUAAGAUAAUCUUCCUUCUAGUCCCCAAGCCUAAAACCUUAGAAAUUCUCCAAGAGCAGAGUCUGGAUUCAUGAGGGAUUUCUGAAUUUGGUUUUCAAAUGUUAUUACACAUCAGUUCGUGAAGUGCACUUGAAUGUCAGAGUUGAGAAUGUGGAAAAAAGGAGACAUAAGGAAAAUUUAUUUUAAAAAUGUUUUUCAACUUUAAGAAAAGCAUCUAACAACUCACUAAGUUUAGCAUUUCAUGUGUGUUUAUGACCUGUCAAAAACUGCCAGAAAUUGACUUGUGAGCAAGAAGAAAAAGAUGUUGCCUGUUUGUCAUCUCUCAGAGCGUCCAACUUCUGAAGGCCACUUUGCAACCAAAAAAGAACUUUCCUUCAUCAGUGGAUGUACGCUGAAGAAGACAAACAUUAGUAAUAGGAUCCCGGCCAUGUAAUGUUCAUUAAACAAUUAGAUGCUGA